rnacentral:misc_RNA from 1 species
AACGCAAAUUGCACUCUCUGGUACUCCGGAGAGUAUGCCUAUUUGAGGGUCGGUUUAAAUAAAUAUCGGGGUGUUCUUGCCGAACACGUCGGAAUUGGGUGAUCUCGAACCUUCGAGUUUGAGUGACCUAAAAUUUAUCAUCACUUCGGUAUGAUUGCGUACUUAAAUUCGUCGCUUGAAAUACCGAAAAGUAUUUAUUUGGACGUAACCAUCCAUUGUGAUGACAUUAUGUCUAUAAUUUUCGAAUUUCGACCUCAAAUUAGGUAAGAGUACCCGCUGAACUUAA